UGGUGGGUGGGUCAGUGGGUAGAGCCUAGCACUUGUGACUGUAAGAUCCUGGGUUCGAAUCUCGCCGGAGCAG
rnacentral:tRNA from 1 species